GCUGGGCAUGGUGGUGCAUGCCUGUAAUCCCAGCUACUUGGGAGGCUGAGGCAGGAGAAUCGCUUGAACUCGGGAGGCAGAGGUUGCAGUGAGCUGAGAUCGUACCACUGCACUCCAGCCUGAGUGAUACAGCAAGACUCUGUCUCAA
rfam:Homo sapiens chromosome 17, GRCh38 reference primary assembly.